UUCGGUUAAACUCGAGUGGCAGCUUCUUCUGUACUGCCUGCUUGCUCCAGAAACCCCAUAUGAGUUCUUUACGCAGAGUUUCAAAAACCCUAAAAUCGCCAAAAUGUCUCUCUCUUCUACAAACAUAUUCAAAAUUCACUCCAUUUCCUUCUAUGUUCAGAUUAAACGACCAUCCUUUGGAGCUGGCUCGUGCGUGUUGCUCUAAUUCGCGCCAAAAUAGCAAAGAGAACAACGUAGAUUUGAGCCAGUAUCCAGCAGAAAGGAUAAGAAACUUCUCGAUAAUCGCGCACGUUGACCAUGGCAAGUCUACGCUUGCUGACCGGCUUUUGGAGCUCACUGGAACGAUCAAGAGAGGCCAUGGCCAGCCACAGUACCUCGAUAAGUUGCAGGUAGAGAGAGAAAGGGGAAUAACUGUUAAAGCUCAGACAGCUACCAUGUUCCACAAGCACAACUUCCAUGGCCCCAAUGUUGCUGAAGCACAAGAUCCACCAACAUUUCUUCUAAACCUAAUUGAUACACCUGGUCAUGUCGAUUUCAGCUAUGAAGUAUCAAGAUCCUUAGCAGCAUGCCAGGGUGCCCUUUUGGUUGUUGAUGCUGCCCAAGGCGUUCAGGCACAAACUGUAGCUAACUUCUAUUUGGCUUUUGAAUCAAACCUGACAAUUAUACCCGUCAUAAACAAAAUAGAUCAGCCAACUGCAGAUCCUGAUGGUGUCAAAGCUCAGCUAAAAUCUAUGUUUGAUCUUGAACCUAGUGAUUGUCUUUUAACAUCUGCCAAAACAGGGCAGGGCCUUGAGAAAGUUCUUCCUGCAGUCAUAGAACGCAUCCCUCCUCCUCCUGGGCAUAGUGAUUCACCUCUGCGUAUGCUUUUGCUUGAUUCCUAUUAUGACGAAUACAAGGGAGUGAUCUGUCAUGUUGCAGUUGUGGAUGGCAUCCUGCGGAAGGGAGAUAAGAUCUCAUCUGCAGCAACUGGCAAUGCAUAUGAGAUUCUGGAUGUUGGGAUUAUGCAUCCUGAACUCACACCAACUGGAGUUCUUCUAACUGGACAAGUGGGAUAUGUGGUGAGUGGCAUGAGGUCCACCAAAGAGGCACGUGUUGGAGACACUCUAUAUCAUAGCCGAAGUGUUGUAGAACCUCUACCAGGUUUUAAGCCUGCAAAACAUAUGGUAUUCUCUGGCCUUUACCCAGCUGACGGAUCUGAUUUUGAGGCACUUAACCAUGCAAUAGAGAGACUGACAUGCAAUGAUGCAAGUGUCUCUGUUACUAAAGAGAGUAGUUCUGCACUUGGUCUGGGUUUUAGGUGUGGUUUCUUGGGCUUACUCCACAUGGAUGUUUUUCAUCAGCGGCUUGAACAGGAAUAUGGAGCUCAUGUCAUUUCUACUAUUCCAACAGUUCCAUAUAUUUUUGAGCAUUCUGAUGGAAGCAAAGUGCAAGUUCAGAAUCCUGCUGCGAUGCCCUCAAAUCCCAAGAAACGAGUUACGGCUAGUUGGGAACCUACAGUCAUAGCUACAAUUAUCAUCCCUAGUGAGUAUGUGGGGCCUGUUAUUACCCUUUGCUCUGAGCGGAGAGGGCAGCAAUUGGAGUAUUCGUUUAUUGACAGCCAACGAGCCUUUAUGAAGUAUCGCCUGCCUCUGAAGGAAAUUGUUGUUGAUUUUUACAAUGAAUUGAAGAGUAUAACAUCAGGAUAUGCAUCAUUUGACUAUGAGGAUUCGGAUUAUCAAGAAGCUGAUUUGGUGAAACUUGAUAUCCUCCUAAAUGGACAACCAGUUGAUGCUAUGGCAACCAUUGUUCACAAUUUGAAGGCACAACGAGUUGGUCGUGAACUGGUGGAGAAGCUGAAGAAGUUCAUUGAUAGGCAAAUGUUUGAGAUAACAAUACAAGCUGCAAUUGGAUCAAAGGUUAUUGCAAGGGAAACGAUUUCGGCUAUGAGAAAGAAUGUCCUUGCAAAGUGUUAUGGUGGGGAUGUUACUCGGAAAAGGAAGCUUUUGGAAAAGCAGAAGGAAGGCAAGAAGCGAAUGAAGCGUAUUGGUUCUGUUGAUAUACCGCAGGAGGCUUUUCAUCAACUUUUGAAAGUUCAAUAGAGAAAUAUAUCAAACAAUUGGCAUUUUAUGAUGGUGAAGUGUUGUGUGGAUCAUAUGAUAGAGAGAAGCCUUUAAUUUUUGCUGAGAACUAUGCUUCUCGCUGCAAUUUUUUCCUUACUAUUUCAACUAUGGGACAGUUCCAGAAUUCCAGAAAAAUAAGAAGUUACUCAGGAAAUGCCAUUCUUUUUGUAAACGAGGAAAAACAAAAGGCAGGCAUACGGGGCAUAAUUAUUCUGCCCUAGAAUUCUUCAUAGGAACUCGGGCAUCGUUUUGUGGGGAAGCUUUUCAAUUUUUGAAGCAGAACUGACCGUCUUGUUACUGAGGCAGACACUGGAGUCUGAUUGGCAAUUCCAACUUCACCUUGUUAGGUAAUCAGAACUGCACAUUUUGGAGCCCAAGCUCUAGAUCACAGGGCAUGGACAAAGGUGAAAUUUAAAUUAACGUUUGCAGACCUUUUAAAUGUCAGGUAAUUUGUGAUUUAGUCCUUCUAGUUCAGUAGAAUUUACAAACUAGUCUUUAUAUUUUUAUAAGCCAACUAAUUAGUCCUUGUAAUUUUUCAAAAGCAGGAUUUUUCAUUUCAUUCACA